GCUGUGACAAAAUUAAUUUUCAUGUCUUUGAAGGCUUCUCUAAAGAAAUUACAGAAGCAGGAAGUGCUGUAAAAGAGGUUGCCAGGGUGAAAGAAUUCCUUCCUGGCCGGUUUUAAUGGAGCAUAAUGGCUGCUGGAGAAAGCACAGCAAUUGCUGAGUUUAUAGCAUAUACUAGGAAAUCCGGCACGAGGAAACAUGUCUGGAAAACCCAAGCUGCACUACUUCAAUGGACGAGGCCGGAUGGAACCGAUUCGGUGGCUACUGGCAGCAGCUGGGGUUGAGUUUGAAGAAUCUUGCAUAGA